rnacentral:tRNA from 1 species
GGCGUUGUGGCCGAGCGGUUAUGGCGAGAGGUUCAAGUUUUAAAGCUUAGGCUUUUUGUGCCUUUCUCUUGGGAGCGAUCCCUCACGUGUUCAAAUCACGUCAACGUCA